rnacentral:tRNA from 1 species
GCCACCCUAGCUCAGCUGGUAGAGCGGCUGAUUCGUAAUCAGCAGGUCGCCGGUUCAAUCCCGGCGGGUGGCU